rnacentral:rRNA from 1 species
AUUGAACGCUGGCGGCAUGCCUUACACAUGCAAGUCGAACGGUAACAGGUCUUCGGAUGCUGACGAGUGGCGGACGGGUGAGUAAUACAUCGGAACGUGCCCGAUCGUGGGGGAUAACGAGGCGAAAGCUUUGCUAAUACCGCAUACGAUCUACGGAUGAAAGCGGGGGAUCUUCGGACCUCGCGCGGACGGAGCGGCCGAUGGCCGAUUAGGUAGUUGGUGGGAUAAAAGCUUACCAAGCCGACGAUCUGUAGCUGGUCUGAGAGGAUGAUCAGCCACACUGGGACUGAGACACGGCCCAGACUCCUACGGGAGGCAGCAGUGGGGAAUGUUGGACAAUGGGCGAAAGCCUGAUCCAGCCAUGCCGCGUGCAGGAUGAAGGCCUUCGGGUUGUAAACUGCUUUUGUACGGAACGAAAAGCCUCUUUCUAAUAAAGAGGGGUCAUGACGGUACCGUAAGAAUAAGCACCGGCUAACUACGUG